GCAAACUUGGUCAUUUAGAGGAAGUAAAAGUCGUAACAAGGUUUCCGUAGGUGAACCUGCGGAAGGAUCAUUAGCGAAUAAACUUGUGUAGGUUGUUGCUGGCCUUUUCAGAGGCAUGUGCACGCUUGCCAUUGUUUCAUUCCCCCUUCCACCUGUGCACAUCCUGUAGACCAGGCUGUCACCCCCUUCAGUGGUGCUUGCACCUCUGGCAUGAGGACUUGCUCUGGCUGUCCUUGGAUGGUCUGGUCUAUGUCUUAUCAACUCUCAUUGUAUGGUAUUGAACGUCAGCCUGGGUUCUAUACAACCCAUAAAAUCCUAUACAACUUUCAACAACGGAUCUCUUGGCUCUCGCAUCGAUGAAGAACGCAGC
rnacentral:misc_RNA from 1 species